rnacentral:rRNA from 1 species
GACGUAGGGAGCGAGCGUUAUCCGGAUUCAUUGGGCGUAAAGCGCGCGCAGGCGGCCGUGCAAGUCGGAUGUGAAAAUCCGGAGCUCAACUCCGGACCUGCAUUCGAAACUGCACGGCUAGAGGCAGGUAGGGGAGAGGGGAAUUCCCGGUGUAGCGGUGAAAUGCGCAGAUAUCGGGAGGAACACCCGUGGCUAAGGCGGCUCUCUAGUACGGUACUGACGCUGAGACGCGAAAGCGUGGGGAGCAAACAGG